ensembl:lncRNA
GGCGACUUGAAUUUUCAUUCUCUUUAAAUGUUUUCUUUUGGUGAUGAUAAUUUUCAGGCAGUUGAGCAUAACUUUUUUUUUUCUUUGCAGUUUUUUCUUUAUGGACAUGCCCACAACAUGUGGAAGUUUCUGGGCUAAAGGUCAGGGGUCGGAUGGGAGCUGCAGCUGCCAGCCUACACCACAGCUCACGGCAACACCAGGUCCUGAACCCACUCAGCAAGGCUGAGGAUCAAACCUGCGUCCUCAUGGAUACUAGUCAGGUUCUUAACCUGCUGAGCCACAAGAGGAACUCCCUUUUUUUUUUUCUUUUAAUUUGUGGAAUUUGUGUAUUGUUUAAAGAAACUUCGCUUACCCUGAGAUCCGUGAGAUAGUCUCUUUUAUUGAAUACCAGACGUCAUAAAAUUUGUCUCUCACUUGUGGGUCUUUAAUCAGCCUGGAGUUGAUUAAUCUGUGGGUAAAAUGAAGUAGAGGAUCUUUUUUUUUUUUUUCACACAUAUGACUUACUCAGCAUCAUGUAUUAAAAAGCCUAUCCUUUCUACACCGAUCUGCAAUGCCAACUCCGUCAUAUCCAAAUUUUCUUAUGCAGGUAGAUCUUUUUCUGGGCAUUCUCUGCUGUGUCAUGAUUAAUGCAUCCACACCAUGUCAGCUACACAAGUUCUAAUUAGUUUGACUUUGUGGUAAUUCGUGGUGUCUAGGAACUUACACCUCCUAGUUUGUACUUCAUCAAUGAACUGGCUCUUGAGUAUUUAUUUGUUAAUGUAAAUGUUAAAAUCUGCCUGUCAGUAUAUCCACACAUACAGCCUUUCACGGCUUUGAUUGGAAUUCCUCUGAAUCUAUAGAUAACUUUGAAAAGAAAUGGCAUCUUUAGGACACUGAGUUUUCCUGUCCAUGGACAUAAUAUUUUUCACCAGAGAAAGAGAGAGAGAAAACUUCUUCAACGUUACUAAGUGUUUUAUAAUUUUCUCCCCCAAAGGACGGGACGUUAAAAUCUUUUGGAAGACUUGUUUCUAGGCACUUUAAAUAUCUUAGUGAUAUUAUAAUGGUUAAAAUAUCACAAUUUUGUGUGUUCAUGUUGUGGCUAGUGUUUAUAUUUUUAUAGAUCAUUUAUAAAAUGUGCUUGCAAAAUGUUUUAUCAAUUUCAGUUUAUUCUUUUGGUUUUGCUGUGUAGAUGAUAAUGGUAUCUGUAAAUAAUUGAAUCUUAUUGUUUCCUUUCCAUCUUUUUACACUUUUUUGCCUGAUAGUACUGAUAGGAUCUCUAAACAACGAUAAAUUAAGGAGGUGAGAGUAAGCACACUUUUUCUUUUUCUUUUUUUUUUAAUUUUUUAAAAGUUUUACUGAAGUAUAGUUGAUUUACAAGGUUGUAGUAAUUUCUGCUCUAUGACAAAGUGUACACAUACCCAUUCUCUUUCAGAAUUUUUGUCCCACAUAGAUUAUCACAGAAUACUGGGUAGAGUCCUCUGUGCUGUAUAGCAGAUCCCAUUGGUGAAUCGUUCCAUAUACCUCAGGGUGCAUAUGCCAAUCCCAAAUCCCCUGUCCAUCCCUCCCUCCACCCCACCCCCAAUAUGUCCCCUCUGGGAACCAUAAGUUUGUUUUCAAAGUCUGUGAGUAUAUUUCUGUUCUUUAAAUUGUUCAUUCAUAUCCUUUUUACUAGGUUCCACUUAUAAGUGAUAUCAUGUGAUGUCACUUGAUAAAAUUCACUGACUAAAUUCACUUAGUAUGAUAGUUUCAAGGUCAAUCCAUGUUGCUGCAAAUGGGUACACCUUCAAUACUUCAGCACAAAACAUUACUUUUUUAAUUUAAAUAUUUUUGCUAUCAAAGUACAGUUGAUUUACAAUGUUGUACCAAUCUCUGCUGCACAGGCAAGUGACCCAGUCAUACAUAUAAAUACAUUCUUUUUCUCAUGUUAUCUUCCAUCAUGUUCUACCCCAAGAGAUUGGCUAUAUCUCCCUAUGCAAUACAGUAGGACCUCAUUGCUUAUCCAUUCUAAAUGUAAUAGUUUGUAUCUACCAACCCCAAACUCCCAGUCCAUCCCACUCCCUCUCUCCUCCCCCUUGGCAACCAUAAGUCUGCUCUCUAUGUGAGUCUGUUUCUGUUUGGUAGAUAGGUUCAUUUGCGCCAUAUUUUAGAUUCCACAUAUGUGAUAUCAUAUGGUAUUUUUCUCUUUCUGCCUUACUUCACCUAAUAUGAGAAUCUCUAGUUGCAUCCUUGUUGCUGCAGAUGGCAUUAUUUUAUUCUUUUUUAUGGCUGAGUAGUAUUCUGUUAUGUAUAUAUUAAAUCUACUCAUCUGUUGAUGGACAUUUGGGUUGUUUCUAUUUCUUGGCUAUUGUGAAUAGUGCUGCAGUGAACAUAGGGGUGCAUGUAUCUUUUUGAAUGAAAGGUUUGUCCAGAUAAAUGCCCAGGAGUGGGAUUGCUGUAUCAUAUGGUAGUUUUAUAUUUAAUUUUCUGAGGAACCUCCGUACUGUUUUCCAUAGUGGUUGUACUAACUUAUAUUUCCACCAUCAGUGUAGGAGGGCUUCCUUUUCUCCACACCCUCUCCAGCAUUUGUUUUUUGUGGACUUGAUGGCUAUUCUGACUGGUAUGAGGUGGUACCUCAUUGUAGUUUUGACUUGCAUUUCUCCAGAAAUCAGUGAUGUUGAGCAUCUUUUCAUGUGCCUAUUGGCCAUUUGUAUAUUUUCUUUGGAGAGAGAGGUAUCCAUGUAGGUUUUCUACCCAUUUUUCUAUUGGGUUUUUCUGGGUUUUGUUGUUGAGUUGUAUGUGUUGUUGGUAUAUUUUGGAGAUUAAGCCAUUGUCAACUGCAUCAUUUGCAAAGAUUUUCUCCCAUACUACAUGGGAGAAAAUACAUACUGGUAUUUUUUUUUUAUGGUUUCCUUUGCUAUGCAAAAGCUUUUGAGUCUAAUUUGGUCCCAUUGGUUUACUUUUGUUUUUAUUGUCAUUAUUCCAAGAGGUGGUUCAAACAAGAUAUUGCUGCAAUUUAUGUCAAAGUGCAUUCUGCCUAUGUUUUCCUCCAAGUGUUUUAUAGUAUCUGGCCUUAUGUUCAGGUCUUUAAUCCGUUUGAGUUUAUUUUUGUGUAUGCUGUUAGAAAUGUUCCAAUGUCAUUCUUUUACAUGUAGCUGUCCAGUUUCCCUAGCACCGCUUAUUAAAGAGACUUCUUUCCUCCAUCGUAAGUUCUUGCCUCCUUUGUCAUAGAUUAGCUGACCAUAGGUGCUUGGGUUUAUUUCUGGACUUUGUUUCCAUUGAUCUGUAUUUCUGCACAAGGCAUAUGUCUUGCUUUUAGAUUUUGACAGGUUUGACUAUCAGGUUAAAGACUCUAGGUUGCCAAGAGUCUUUUUUUUUUUAAUUACAAAUAAGUAUUAAAUUUAAUUGAUAUUUUUCUGUGUUUAUCGAGAUGAUUACAUAUUUUCCUUUCUCAUCGAUAAUGCAAGAUCUAAAAUAAUGGCUUUUCUAAUGUUGAACAAAACUUUAAUUUCUGGGGUAAAUACAACUUGAUCAUGCCGUAUUAAUUUUUAGUACAUUGGUACAAUGGAUCAUUAGUGAAUAUUAGUGAAAAUGCCCUAUAAUUUUUUGUUCUCCUACUUUCCUUGAUAGAUAUUGGUUCAGAUUUGUGCUAGCUUCAUCAAAUGAGUUAGAGAAUAUUUCCUAAUUUUCUCUUCUCAGCAAGAGACUGGGAGUUCCCUGGCAGCCUAGCAGGUUAAGGAUCCAGCAUAGCCACUGCUGUGGCUUGAGUUACUGCUCUGGUGCUGGUUGGAUCCCUGGCCAGGGAACUUGUGCAUGCCUCAAGUGCAGCCCAAAAAAAAAAAAA